GAUGAACGCUAGCGACAGGCUUAACACAUGCAAGUCGAGGGGCAGCAUAAAAGUAGCAAUACUUUGGUGGCGACCGGCGCACGGGUGAGUAACGCGUAUGCAACCUACCUAUCAGAGGGGGAUAACCCGGCGAAAGUCGGACUAAUACCGCAUAAAACAGGGGCACCGCAUGGUGAUAUUUGUUAAAAAUUUAUUGCUGAUAGAUGGGCAUGCGUUCCAUUAGGUAGUUGGAGAGGUAACGGCUCACCAAGCCAACGAUGGAUAGGGGAACUGAGAGGUUGGUCCCCCACACUGGUACUGAGACACGGACCAGACUCCUACGGGAGGCAGCAGUGAGGAAUAUUGGUCAAUGGGCGAGAGCCUGAACCAGCCAAGUCGCGUGAAGGAAGAAGGAUCUAUGGUUCGUAAACUUCUUUUGCAGGGGAAUAAAGUGCAGGACGUGUCCUGUUUUGUAUGUACCCUGAGAAUAAGGAUCGGCUAACUCCGUGCCAGCAGCCGCGGUAAA
rnacentral:rRNA from 1 species